GAUGAACGCUGGCGGCGUGCCUAACACAUGCAAGUCGAGCGAACCCUUCGGGGUGAGCGGCGGACGGGUGAGUAACGCGUGGGUAACCUGCCCUAUACACACGGAUAACGUACCGAAAGGUACGCUAAUACGAGAUAACAUAUUUUUAUCGCAUGGUAGAAAUAUCAAAGCUCCGGCGGUAUAGGAUGGACCCGCGUCUGAUUAGCUAGUUGGUAAGGUAAUGGCUUACCAAGGCGACGAUCAGUAGCCGACCUGAGAGGGUGAUCGGCCACAUUGGAACUGAGACACGGUCCAAACUCCUACGGGAGGCAGCAGUGGGGAAUAUUGCACAAUGGGCGAAAGCCUGAUGCAGCAACGCCGCGUGAGCGAUGAAGGCCUUCGGGUCGUAAAGCUCUGUCCUCAAGGAAGAUAAUGACGGUACUUGAGGAGGAAGCCCCGGCUAACUAC
rnacentral:rRNA from 1 species